GCCACUCCCACAAACGUCUACGAUCGCACCUACAUAUUUUUUGCAUGUUUACAAUUCUAAUUUUGAACAGCCAAUCGACGUUUAAUUGUAAUUUUAAUCCAAGAACAGGAUUGGCUGUUCCAAAUUAGAAUUGUAAGCAUGCAGAAAUAUGUAGGUGCGGUCGUAGACGUUUGUGGGAGUGGA